UAGGGAAUCUUCGGCAAUGGACGAAAGUCUGACCGAGCAACGCCGCGUGAGUGAAGAAGGUUUUCGGAUCGUAAAACUCUGUUGUUAGAGAAGAACAAGGACGUAAGUAACUGAACGUCCCCUGACGGUAUCUAACCAGAAAGCCACGGCUAACUACGUGCCAGCAGCCGCGGUAAUACGUAGGUGGCAAGCGUUGUCCGGAUUUAUUGGGCGUAAAGCGAGCGCAGGCGGUUUCUUAAGUCUGAUGUGAAAGCCCCCGGCUUAACCGGGGAGGGUCAGUGGAAACUGGGAGACUUGAGUGCAGAAGAGGAGAGUGGAAUUCCAUGUGUAGCGGAGAAAUGCGUAGAUAUAUGGAGGAACACCAGUGGCGAAGGCGGCUCUCUGGUCUGUGACUGACGCUGAGGCUCGAAAGGGUGGGGAGCAAACAGG
rnacentral:rRNA from 1 species